GCGAUUGCGAGGAAAAAGAAAAAGCGCAUUCGAUCCGGAUCACAAUUUUCUCCGUCUGCGACUUCCCCGGUCUUGUUCGGGCAGCCCUGGGUCGAUCCGCCCGCAGUCAAAUGGCCCGCCCCUUUGCAGGGCUGGAAAGGGUUCAAGAAGACGAAGGCGAAGACGAAGACGAAGACGAAGGCGAAGACGAAGACGAAGACGAAGGAGAAGAAGGUGGCCCGAGCAGCGGCGGCGGGGGCUCCGGAGUGUCGGCAGAGGUCGCCGGGGGGGAGCAGUUCCUCGCCUGCUAAUGGACGCAGUCAAUUUAUUCCCCAAUUAGAUGCCCCCCGCCGCCGGCGACGCGAUGAUCAG
rnacentral:lncRNA from 1 species